GUUUGAUCCUGGCUCAGGAUGAACGCUAGCGGCAGGCUUAAUACAUGCAAGUCGUACGGGAUCCGAGGUAGCAAUACUUUGGUGAGAGUGGCGCACGGGUGCGUAACACGUAUGCAACCUACCUAUAACCGGGACACAACCUCGAGAAAUUGAGGCUAAUAUCCCAUAACACUGCGAGAUGGCAUCAUUUUGCAGUUAAAACUCCGGUGGUUAUAGAUGGGCAUGCGCGACAUUAGCUAGUUGGUGAGGUAACGGCCCACCAAGGCUACGAUGUCUAGGGGUUCUGAGAGGAUUAUCCCCCACACUGGUACUGAGACACGGACCAGACUCCUACGGGAGGCAGCAGUAAGGAAUAUUGGUCAAUGGGCGCAAGCCUGAACCAGCCAUGCCGCGUGAAGGAUGACGGCCCUAUGGGUUGUAAACUUCUUUUGUACGGGAAAAAACCACCGGUCGUGAAUCGGUGCUGAUGGUACCGUAAGAAUAAGCAUCGGCUAACUCCGUGCCAGCAGCCGCGGUAAUACGGAGGAUGCAAGCGUUAUCCGGAUUCAUUGGGUUUAAAGGGUGCGCAGGCGGAAUAAUAAGUCAGCGGUGAAAGCCUACAGCUUAACUGUAGAACUGCCAUUGAUACUGUUAUUCUUGAGUGUUGUUGAGGUAGGCGGAAUGUGUCAUGUAGCGGUGAAAUGCUUAGAUAUGACACAGAACACCGAUCGCGAAGGCAGCUUACCAAGCAACAACUGACGCUCAUGCACGAAAGCGUGGGGAUCAAACAGGAUUAGAUACCCUGGUAGUCCACGCCGUAAACGAUGAUCACUCGAUGUUGGCGAUACACAGUCAGCGUCUUAGCGAAAGUAUUAAGUGAUCCACCUGGGGAGUACGGUCGCAAGAUUGAAACUCAAAGGAAUUGACGGGGGCCCGCACAAGCGGAGGAGCAUGUGGUUUAAUUCGAUGAUACGCGAGGAACCUUACCUGGGCUCGAACGUGGAAUGACAGUCGCGGAAACGUGAUCUUCUUCGGACAUUCUACGAGGUGCUGCAUGGUUGUCGUCAGCUCGUGCCGUGAGGUGUCGGGUUAAGUCCCAU
rnacentral:rRNA from 1 species